AGGAAGCAAAGUAAGACCCUUCCGGUAAAAUCAACGAAGAGGAAAGGAUGAUCUCUAGACUCGAAAUAUGCAAUUCGAACUAAUUCAGAAACUCAAAAAGAUGCAAAGAAAGAUACAUGUGCAUAUACAUAUAUUACAUAAAAACAUCCAUUCCCGGUAAAGUAAGCAUAUAUAUAGAUCUACAUACAUGCAAAGAAAGGUAUAUAUGUAUAUACAUGUACAUACCUACCUACACAUAUAUCACUAACCACGUAUGUAUGUAUGCCAUCCAUGGUAAAAGAUUCCCC
rnacentral:lncRNA from 1 species